AGGAGGGUUGAUUGACAUGAAGUUUGUUCGACAAUUUAUUGAGUGGAGGUGGGCUUUCCUAGCAAGCAAGUUGUCUACAAAUGAUCCCCGACACAGGAUGUAUACAAAAAAGCUUGGCGCAUGUAGUACAAAUAGUAUACAUUGGUUAUGUCUAUUACCUAUGAUUAUGUGUUUCAAUUUGUAAGUUUAGUUAUCAUGUACUUGGUUUGUAUCCACUAUGUAGAUGAUUGUUUCGUCAUGUUUGUUUGUGUCUAUGGCGUUUUAACA
rnacentral:lncRNA from 1 species